GACGAACGCUGGCGGCGUGCCUAACACAUGCAAGUCGAACGGGAGCAAGUGCUUCGGUAUUUGCUUUAGUGGCGAACGGGUGAGUAACGCGUGAAUAACCUGCCUUUCAGUGGGGGACAACAGUCAGAAAUGACUGCUAAUACCGCAUAAGCGCACAGCAUCGCAUGAUGCAGUGUGAAAAACUCCGGUGGUGUGAGAUGGACCCGCGUUGGAUUAGCUAGUUGGCAGGGCAGCGGCCUACCAAGGCGACGAUCCAUAGCCGGCCUGAGAGGGUGAACGGCCACAUUGGGACUGAGACACGGCCCAG
rnacentral:rRNA from 1 species